AACGUAGGAGGCGAGCGUUAUCCGGAUUUACUGGGCGUAAAGCGCACGCAGGCGGCCCCGACAGUCGGACGUGAAAGCUCCCGGCUUAACUGGGAGAGGCCGUUCGAUACUUCGGGGCUUGAGGUUGGGAGAGGGGUGUGGAAUUCCCGGUGUAGUGGUGGAAUGCGUAGAUAUCGGGAGGAACACCUGUGGCGAAAGCGGCACCCUGGCCCACACCUGACGCUGAGGUGCGAAAGCGUGGGGAGCAAAC
rnacentral:rRNA from 1 species